AACUCUGGUAUUGAUUGGUGCUUGCAUCAUGAUUUACAUUUGAGUGAGUGGCGAACUGGUGAGUAACACGUGGGAAACCUGCCCAGAAGCGGGGGAUAACACCUGGAAACAGAUGCUAAUACCGCAUAACAACUUGGACCGCAUGGUCCGAGUUUGAAAGAUGGCUUCGGCUAUCACUUUUGGAUGGUCCCGCGGCGUAUUAGCUAGAUGGUGGGGUAACGGCUCACCAUGGCAAUGAUACGUAGCCGACCUGAGAGGGUAAUCGGCCACAUUGGGACUGAGACACGGCCCAAACUCCUACGGGAGGCAGCAGUAGGGAAUCUUCCACAAUGGACGAAAGUCUGAUGGAGCAACGCCGCGUGAGUGAAGAAGGGUUUCGGCUCGUAAAACUCUGUUGUUAAAGAAGAACAUAUCUGAGAGUAACUGUUCAGGUAUUGACGGUAUUUAACCAGAAAGCCACGGCUAACUACGUGCCAGCAGCCGCGGUAAUACGUAGGUGGCAAGCGUUGUCCGGAUUUAUUGGGCGUAAAGCGAGCGCAGGCGGUUUUUUAAGUCUGAUGUGAAAGCCUUCGGCUCAACCGAAGAAGUGCAUCGGAAACUGGGAAACUUGAGUGCAGAAGAGGACAGUGGAACUCCAUGUGUAGCGGUGAAAUGCGUAGAUAUAUGGAAGAACACCAGUGGCGAARGCGGCUGUCUGGUCUGUAACUGACGCUGAGGCUCGAAAGUAUGGGUAGCAAACAGGAUUAGAUACCCUGGUAGUCCAUACCGUAAACGAUGAAUGCUAAGUGUUGGAGGGUUUCCGCCCUUCAGUGCUGCAGCUAACGCAUUAAGCAUUCCGCCUGGGGAGUACGGCCGCAAGGCUGAAACUCAAAGGAAUUGACGGGGGCCCGCACAAGCGGUGGAGCAUGUGGUUUAAUUCGAAGCUACGCGAAGAACCUUACCAGGUCUUGACAUACUAUGCAAAUCUAAGAGAUUAGACGUUCCCUUCGGGGACAUGGAUACAGGUGGUGCAUGGUUGUCGUCAGCUCGUGUCGUGAGAUGUUGGGUUAAGUCCCGCAACGAGCGCAACCCUUAUUAUCAGUUGCCAGCAUUAAGUUGGGCACUCUGGUGAGACUGCCGGUGACAAACCGGAGGAAGGUGGGGAUGACGUCAAAUCAUCAUGCCCCUUAUGACCUGGGCUACACACGUGCUACAAUGGAUGGUACAACGAGUUGCGAACUCGCGAGAGUAAGCUAAUCUCUUAAAGCCAUUCUCAGUUCGGAUUGUAGGCUGCAACUCGCCUACAUGAAGUCGGAAUCGCUAGUAAUCGCGGAUCAGCAUGCCGCGGUGAAUACGUUCCCGGGCCUUGUACACACCGCCCGUCACACCAUGAGAGUUUGUAACACCCAAAGUCGGUGGGGUAACCU
rnacentral:rRNA from 2 species